rnacentral:ncRNA from 1 species
UAAUUGAAGAGUUUGAUCAUGGCUCAGAUUGAACGCUGGCGGCAGGCCUAACACAUGCAAGUCGAGCGGUAACAUUUCUAGCUUGCUAGAAGAUGACGAGCGGCGGACGGGUGAGUAAUGCCUGGGAAAUUGCCUUGAUGUGGGGGAUAACCAUUGGA